UACGUAGGGGGCUAGCGUUGUCCGGAUUUAUUGGGCGUAAAGAGCGUGUAGGCGGCCAUGUAGGUCCGGUGUGAAAACUCGAGGCUUAACCUCGAGAUGUCAUCGGAAACCAUUUGGCUAGAGUCCGGAAGAGGAGAGUGGAAUUCCUGGUGUAGCAGUGAAAUGCGUAGAGAUCGUGAGGAAGACCAGUGGCGAAGGCGGGUCUCUGGACAGUUCCUGACACUGAGGCACGAAGGCCAGGGGAGCAAACGGG
rnacentral:rRNA from 1 species